AUUGAACGCUGGCGGCAUGCCUUACACAUGCAAGUCGAACGGCAGCACGGGAGCAAUCCUGGUGGCGAGUGGCGAACGGGUGAGUAAAGUAUCGAAACGUGCCCAGUCGGGGGGGAUAACGUAGCGAAAGUUAAGCUAAUCCCGCAUACGAUCUAUGGAUGAAAGUGGGGGAUCGCAAGACAUCGCGCGACUGUAGCGGCCGAAAUCAGAUUAGGUAGAUGGUGGGGUAAAGGCUCACCAAGCCGUCGAUCUGUAGCUGGUCUGAGAGGACGACCAGCCACACUGGGACUGAGACGCGGCCCAGACUCCGACGGGAGGCAGCAGUGGGGAAUUUUGGACAAUGGGCGAAAGCCUGAUCCAGCCAUGCCGCGUGCAGGAUGAAGGCCUUCGGGUUGUAAACUGAUUUUGUACGGAACGAAAAGGUUUGGGCUAAUAAGCUGAGCUCAUGACGGUACCGUAAGAAUAAGCACCGGCUAACUACGUGCCAGCCGCCGCCGUAA
rnacentral:rRNA from 1 species